UAGAUAACUGUGGUAAUUCUAGAGCUAAUACAUGCCACGAAGCGCCGACCUUACGGAAGGCGUGCUUUUAUUAGGAUCAAGACCAACACGGGCUUGCCCGGCUUCGUUGGUGAACUCUGGAUAACUUCGCAGAUCGCAUUGUCAUCGAACAGGCGACAUUUCUUUCAAACGUCUGACCUAUCAAUUUUCGAUGGUACGAUAUGCGCCUACCAUGGUGCUAACGGGUGACGGGGAAUCAGGGUUCGAUUCCGGAGAGGGAGCCUGAGAAAUGGCUACCACAUCCAAGGAAGGCAGCAGGCGCGCAAAUUACCCACUCUCGACACGAGGAGGUAGUGACGAAAAAUAACAAUACAGGACUCUUUCGAGGCCCUGUAAUUGGAAUGAGUACACUUUAAAUCCUUUAACGAGGAUCUACUGGAGGGCAAGUCUGGUGCCAGCAGCCGCGGUAAUUCCAGCUCCAGUGGCGUAUAUUAAUACUGCUGCAGUUAAAAAGCUCGUAGUUGGAUCUAGGGCGUAGGCUGAGGGUCCCUCGCAAGGGGUGCACCUCUCAGACCUGGCCUCCCUCGCGGUUUGCGCUCGGUUCUCUUAGUUGAGUGCCGAGUGCUACCGGAACGUUUACUUUGAAAAAAUUGGAGUGUUCAAAGCAGGCGUAACAGCCUGAACAGCAGAGCAUGGAAUAAUGGAAUAGGACCUCGGUUCUAUUGCGUUGGUUUUAAGAGUUACGAGGUAAUGAUUAAGAGGGACUGACGGGGGCAUUCGUAUUGCGGUGUGAGAGGUGAAAUUCUAGGAUCGCCGCAAGACGACCGACAGCGAAAGCAUUUGCCAAGAAUGUCUUCAUUAAUCAAGAACGAAAGUUAGAGGUUCGAAGGCGAUCAGAUACCGCCCUAGUUCUAACCAUAAACUAUGCCGACCGGCGAUUCGCCGGCGUUACUCCAAUGACACGGCAGGCA
rnacentral:rRNA from 1 species